rnacentral:tRNA from 1 species
AAGGAAGGACAGAAAUCAGUAAGUACUGCUAAUACUUACACCCGGGGUUAAAAUCCCCGGCUUUCUUAC